CAGGUGCUGGGGGGAGGGAGAGAUGAACAGACAGAGCACAGAUUUUUUAGGGCAGUGUAAUUAUUCUGUAAGAUACUAUUAUGGAGGAUAUAUGUCUAUUAUAUAUUUGCCCAAACCCAAAGCAUAUACAUAGAGUGAACCCCAACAUCGACUAUGGACUUUGGGUGAUAAUGAUGUGUCAAUGUAGCAGAAUGAUACUGUGACAGAUUAAUUAAUGUUCUCUUUCAAGAAUGUUCUGUCACCAAGGAAACCUCUUCCAUGGGAGAGUCCACCAAAAGUUGUCCAUCGCCUAUUGGUGGGUUAUCACAGCAGAAAGAGAGGAAAUUUCAGACUCUAG
ensembl:lncRNA novel transcript, antisense to ZNF677